rnacentral:misc_RNA from 1 species
AGGAGUACGCGCGCGCGCGCACCCUUUUCAUUCGGUGGAGGGGUGGCGUCGAUCUUUUCCUCAUCGAUAAGAAGAGAAAAAGGAAGAUCGGCAGAAGUGGCAGGGAAUAACGAGGAGGGCGAGUCACGUGUGUCUUUCUCGUGGUGUGUCAUGGGGUGCUUUGGCAGCCAGAGCAGUAAGGCCAGUCAGGAUGAUUCGAAGAACCAGAAGAGACGCUCGGAUGCCAUUACCAGGCAACUGCAGAAGGACAAGCAAGUUUAUCGAGCUACUCACAGGCUCCUCUUACUCGGAGCGGGAGAAUCUGGGAAAAGUACGAUCGUCAAACAGAUGAGGAUAUUGCAUGUCGACGGCUUCAGCGAAGCAGAAAAACGCCAGAAAAUCGAGGACAUAAAAAAGAACAUCAGAGAUGCGAUAUUGACGAUAACCAGUGCUAUGAGCACGUUAGCACCGCCCGUGACGUUAGAGGAUCCUGCAAAUCAGAGCAGCGUCGACUAUAUCCUGAACGUCUCGUCUUCCCCGGAUUUUGAUUAUCCCGCGGAGUUCUACGAAAUCGUCGAAACGCUGUGGAAUGAUCGAGGCGUUCAGCAAAGUUUCGAGAGGAGUAACGAGUACCAACUCAUCGACUGCGCCAAAUAUUUUCUAGACAAAGUAGCUAUUGUAAAACAACCGGACUACACGCCAACGGAACAGGAUAUCUUGAGGUGUCGAGUUCUUACGUCCGGUAUCUUCGAAACCCGGUUUCAGGUGGACAAAGUAAACUUUCACAUGUUCGACGUUGGUGGACAACGCGACGAAAGGAGAAAAUGGAUACAAUGUUUCAAUGACGUAACGGCGAUCAUAUUUGUAACAGCAUGUAGUAGUUAUAAUAUGGUACUCAGGGAAGACCCGACGAAAUUAAGGCUCCGGGAAAGUCUCGAUCUCUUCAAAAGUAUUUGGAACAAUCGAUGGCUCCGCACAAUUUCCGUGAUUUUAUUUUUGAAUAAACAGGAUCUAUUGGCAGAGAAGAUAAAAGCGGGAAAACAUAAAUUGGAGGAUUAUUUUCCUGACUUUUCUCGUUACCAGACGCCGGUCGAACCUGGCGUAGUCACAGAUCCCUCGGAACCUCCCGACGUCUUAAGGGCCAAGUACUUCAUCAGAGAUGAAUUUCUCCGUAUAAGCACAGCCAGCGGAGAUGGUAAACACUAUUGCUACCCACACUUCACCUGCGCCGUUGACACAGAAAAUAUCAAGAGAGUGUUCAACGAUUGUCGGGACAUCAUUCAGCGGAUGCACUUACGUCAAUACGAGCUCUUGUGACUUCAUUCCUGCCGACAUGUUGUCCGGUUGAGCUUUCGUCUCACCGUUAUGCACCGCUGCACCAACUACGCGAGCCCUUCUCGAGCCCUUUUCGAGCCAUAUGAGAGAAGAAAAACGAGAGAUGUGGCCGCAAAGUCUCCUAUCGUUAAGGAUAUAUUCUCGUGCCGCUAAAUAAUAUAGCCCGAACCGUAUCGGUAAAACGCACGAGUAAAAAAAUGACCUCGUCAUCGUCCGACCUCGUCGUCGUCGCCCGACCUCGUCGCACGCGACUAAGUAUACACACGCAACGUCGAGAGAAGAAGGAAGAAUAAAACCCUCUCGUCGAAUUCGAGGAGAGUGUGCUGAAUGGCUGAGCGGCCGCCCUUACAACCGGCCGCUGAGAACUCGUGCAAUUCUAAUUAUUACCUCGUUAAUUUUAUUCAUAUUACGCAUCAAUUCGUUGAUAAGAGCAAAGAGAAGAUAAGCGAGGAUCGUGAUAUAUAUACAUAUAUAUACAUAUAUAUACAUAUAUAUAUAUAUAUAUAUAUAUAUCUCUCAUAGAUUAUUAAUGUUUAUUACAAACUGCAUACGUCGUCCUGUGCAAAACGUAUGUUCUUCGUAAAAUACACUCUUUUUAUUUAAACGUCGCGGCUCGGCUUAGAUGGUAAGAACAUUUCUUAAGACUUUGGCCGUUUUUCUCUUACACCCCUAUUCCUUCCCUCAUUCUCUAGGAUAUAUAUCCUUUUUUUAAUAUAGAAAUGGAAAUCAAUCGAAUCCCUAAAAUCGUCGUCGAAAUCUUACCUCCGUUUCAACUUUCUUCUGCUUCUUACUCUUGUUUUUUCGUUUACUCGUCGUUGUUGUUGCUUCUUAAGAUUCUAUCGAAAUCUCCCUAUAUCCCUGGCUAUUCGUUUUCUACAUCCGAAUCUCGACUUUUGAUCGCAUCGGUCCAACCCACAUAGGAGUCUCAUCCACACCUUUUUACGAGAAAAGUAUUUUGUGAAAUUUUACAGUAUUUCGAAGAGUGUUUUAAUUAUAUGUAUAAACUAUGUAUCGAAUAUGUACAGGGUGACCGUCCAUGAAUUCAUCUUUUUUAUCUAUGUUUCCUACGAUACAAGGAUUCCUCGUUAUAUGUCAUUUUUUACUAAUUUCCGUCGGAUCGUUUGAUAACGUGUAUCUAGAUGCAUAACGAUACUAAUAUAACUAUUAUGCGUGUAUUCGAAUUAAUAGAAAAACUGCACCGUCUUUAAGUUUCUUGUUAUACUAGUAUCAUAUUCUGAAUUUAGAAUGAGAGUACAUUUAAUGGCGAGAGAAAAAUAAAUAGGAAAAAUGUUCGUUUUAAAUCUAACUGUCGAGAGAGAAUAUGUUCGUUACCGUCCGGCGUAGCUUUUUCAAAAUAAGUUUUUUUCGUUUACGCGUUUAUUUGCCUUGUUUCUAUUUAUUAACUUUGAAAGGGUAGAAUAGUUCGAGCCAUGUAUACUUUUAUGAAACGCGACCAGAUUCGUGAUUUUCUUUUUAACAUUUGGAACACCCUGUGUAUAUGGAAAGAAAUGAGCCUACUUUUCCCCUUGAUUUUUACUACAUACGUUUUUUUUUUUUUUUUAAAUAUGUUGUUGAAAAAUUACAUACAGCUAAGGGUCUCUGUGUUAUUACAAAGGUAAUGAGCGAUAUGAAAACCAUCAUACAUAAAGCAGUGACUUGACACGUUUAUAAGUGUCGUUCUUAUUUCUUACGCAUAAAGAUAAACGGCUGACACUGAAAACAUUGAAAUAGUCCUCCAAGUGCUUUUCUUCUUUUUUUUUUUUUUUUAACGUUUCUUUGUAAUUUUCAGACACAACGCGAUAGUAGUCUGUAUUCUAUAUUUUACUUUACAAACCAAACUUUAUCUCUCGUAUUAAUAGAAAAAAUUUCUUUUAUAUAAUAACAGUUGAUUCAUUUAUAAUCUCUUCGAGUGUUGUAGAACAUUCUUCUUUUCAGCGCAAAAUCACUAUGACUAUAUCGAAUAUUUUUUUUAAUCUAUUAACUGUAGUUCUUCAUUAUGCAGUAAAGUGGAAAUAACAAAAGUAUAAACUUCUUGAGCAUAGUGUAAGAGAUUCGUCAAAGUAUUUGUUAAAUUUCUUAUUGAAAUUUUCCAAGAUUUUUUUUAGACUCGCGAUUAAAAGAAUAGAGAAGAGAAAGAAAUAAAAAAAGGAAGGGAAAGGAAAGGAAAGGAAAGGAAGAUAAAUUCUACUGUCGAACUGACGUAGUUCGUAGUACAAAAUAGAAUUUGUCGAUUAAUGAUAAAAACGUUUAAACGGAUACCCUGUACAUGUAUACUUGCCCACAUACAUAUAUACAUACAUCUGCAUUAAAUGUAUUUUUGUGUAUCGAUAUUGAUGGGUGCGCUCAUACAUGUAUGUGUACCUAUCAUACUAAAUACAUUAAGAAACACAACUCA